rnacentral:ncRNA from 1 species
GUAAUAAGUAAUCCAUGUGUAAUCACACGGUCAUGGAAUUGACGGGAACCUUUUUUAUAUUGGGGUGUAAUUCAUGUGAUCCUGUCAAGAAAAUGUAUAAUUCAUCUUAUUCAAAUUGAGGAGCAACAAGGAAUGCAGAGAUAAGUGUCACAUGAACCUUACGUGUACUCAUUGCUCUACGAAAUUAUUCAGUAGCUAGUGCGAGAGGAUGAUCAACCAUGUUGGGACUAAAACAAAGCCCAGAGUCCUACGGGAGGCAGCAGGGUGGAAUUUUGUGCAAUGCGUGAAUGCCUGAUGGAGCAAUGUCGCGUGGAGGUGGAAGGACUGCCGAUUGUCAACUUAUUUUCUCUGAUAAUAAGAUAUGGUGAGGGUACUUGUGUAAUAAGCAUCAGGUAACUUUGUGCCAGUAGCCGCGGUAGAACAAAAGACAU